rnacentral:misc_RNA from 1 species
GGGCUUCAGCUUCACUCCCAUGCUCUCUGGCGAGAGCAACUCCGGUGAGAUACAUGAAGGACUCAGGGGACUCCGCGGGCUCCCGGUCAGCUGGGUUGGCCUGUACAGCCCAUACCCCAUGAAGAAGUACUCCAUUGGUAUCAGCAUCGCAUGGGGUUGUUCUUCCGUAACCACAGAUCCACAUGCCUGAACCUCGACCAAAGCGCUGUAUCUCCUGUCCAACUUUGAGGUCAUGUGGAGGGCUUCAGAAUGGAACUGGGAGUUCUCACCCACAAAUAUUAGCGUCCUACACUUGAG